GCUUGCUUUGGCAGUGCAUAUACUAAAACUGAAAUGAUACAGAGAUUAGUGUGGCCCCUAUGCAAGGAUAACAUGCAAAUUCAUGAAGCGUUCCAUAUUUUU